UACGUAGGUGGCAAGCGUUGUCCGGAUUUACUGGGCGUAAAGAGCGCGCAGGCGGUCGUGCAAGUCGCGUGUGAAAGCCCCCGGCUCAACUGGGGAGGGUCACGCGAUACUGCUCGACUCGAAGGCAGGAGAGGGAAGUGGAAUUCCCGGUGUAGUGGUGAAAUGCGUAGAUAUCGGGAGGAACACCAGUGGCGAAGGCGACUACCUGGACAAUUGCUGACACUCAGGCACGAAAGCAUGGGGAGCAAAAGGG
rnacentral:rRNA from 1 species